GUGCCAGCUGCCACAGAGGCAGUGGAGCUCAGAGAGCCUUGUCACAGGCUCAGAGCUUGGAAGCCGCACUCAGAGCAGCGCAGGAGAGUGUAAAACAAGCCCGGGGAAGGGGUGCUGGAGCUCAAGGGCUGGGCGAGCUGUACCUCUGAGCUACACCCCAGCCUUCCUUCAUCAUCCUUGCAGCCUGCUGUCUUCAUUCAUAAAACGGUAACUACAUCUUGCCACUUCUCAAAGGAACACGUCGGACUAAGCGCCCUGGCCGAGUGCACUGGCCUAGGACCAUACAACAGUGGAGCCAGGGCAGGCCUGGUGCACACAGCCCAGCUGACUCCAAAGCUGUCCGACUUCUUAACCUCGGGCUGUCGUCUCUAAACCUGAAAACGGGGCUAAUACGACUUACUGAGAUAAUACACCGGCACCUAGUAGGUAGUAUACCAAUUCCUCUACCCUCCUAUAAUCAGUAAAGCCUGGGCAGCUCCGUUCUUCUCUGGUACUGGGGAAUCCAACACAGGGCCUCAGGCAUGCUAGCCACAUAAUCGGCCACUGGAUAUAUAUCCACCGGCCCCCUAGCUCCUUCCAACCGCACCACUCUCUUAAGGAUCAUUUCCCAGCCAGACCUGUUGAGGCGGGCCUACAGUCCCAGCUACUCUAGAGCUUGGGCAGGCGGUCACAAGUUCAAGGCCAACCUGGACAACUUAGUGAGCCCUUGUCUCAAAAUCACAAUGUAAAAAAGAAGCUAGGGGUAUAGCUCAGGGGUGGGGUACUUGCCCAGCAUGCUUGAAGAUUAGGGCAUGGGCCAGUGUUCAAUCACCAGUGGUGCAGGGAGAAAAUACUUUCCAGGCUCUCCAGGAGGUGGCAGCAGGGAGCCACCGGGGCUUGGAACUGGGCUAAUUAGGUAGGGCUGGCAUAUCCCCACUUGGGAGCAGGGCCCAGCUGUCCCCUCAGUAUGCCUCCCCAGGCAGAUUCUCAGUGAGCCAUUCCCCGCUGGUUUCACUGGCUAACGUCUCCAGAGCUUUGCCCCGGAGGCAGGCAGCACGGUAGCAUCUGCUUAGGGUGAGGAAGGUAGGCAGGUUUGCGCUCCUGGAAGCUCCAGGGAUGUUGAUCUUCAGUCUUUCCAUCUAGGUCAGGCUGUGCAGUGCGCAUCACGCCUCCGAUGGACAGUUACCCAGAGUCCUCUGUCUGGGUGUGGGCUGUGUCUUGAGCUCUUCCCGGCCUCCUCUCUGAAAGUGGCCUGUCCCACGGCUGCAUCUUUGGGGUGUGUACUUGUAAGACUGGUCUGAGAGGACCUGAUACCACUCUGCCUGGGACCCUGUGCCCCUCCCCUUUGGCCUUCAUCACACCGCAGAGAAAGCUUCAAGCCUUUAGGCUGUCGGCUCCAUGUGACAUAACCCCGCCCUCCUUGUCUCUUUUCUGACUGUCGUUCGCACCUGUGCCAGGUCCCUGCCUCAGUUUGCCUCCUCAUGGCCUCUGCUCAUCUAUUCACGACACUCCCAGCUCCUCGACUCCUCUCUCCCAUUUCUGGGCAGCUAUGAUCACCUCCUCUUGUUCCCAUCUCACAGAACUCACCGCUACCCACUCAGUGCCACUUCCGCACUUCUGUGCCAGGGCACCCACUCCUAAUAUACUUAACUAUCGGUUUCCUUAUAGACUGUUACUACUUGGGAGCAGAGGCUCGGAACCAUUUUUACACCUGUCACAGGCACACAGGUGCCACAGACGUUUGUAGAACGAACAGGUGAGGCCUACCACCCACAUCCAAAGAUCCUCUGCCCUGGGACUCUCCAGGAAAAACACCCUUCUGGGCCCUCUACCUGCCACUCGGGACAAGGUGAUCCGGACACCUUCAGUAGCGGCCUCCCUUCACAGGGCCCAGAGACACUAGUCUCUUUGUCACCUCUGAACAAAAUAGGUCCAGCCGUCCAGGCAUCUCUGGCCUAGCAAAUGUCCAUGGCUCCUUCUGUUCUACAGUGCGAAGAGGAAGCUUAAUUCUUGUUAGUUCUCUGGGAACACAGUGCCCCUUCAAGUCCACCUCAAAGCCCGCAAGACCUGUCCAUCCAUGUUAGUCUCAACGGAGCAGGCCCUCCACGACAUUGAGAAUAACCUCCGGUGCUCUGGGACCCUCACUCAUGCUGCUCUCUCUCCCUAGCAUGCUAUUCGCCCCACCAACCCCGCCCCGCCUUGCCGUGACCGGCCUCUGGAGCCUUAAGAUUCCCAGAGAGCCUUCCUCUGCUCAUCUUCAAGUCCAACACAGCCCUCUGUGUGCCUGCCAGGUCAACCCACCUCUCAGCCCUGGGCAGCAGGCACAGGUGCAGACUGCCAGGUGGGGGCGGGGAGGGCCGAGGGCUGCCUUCCCCUGACCCAGGGUCUCACGGGAGCCUCACCUCCAGUACUCCUCACUGGGGCUGGUCCUCUGCAGGGUGUGGUUGAGCAGCUGAGACAGGUUGCCAGACAGGGCAGCGGGCCGGGAGCCAUUGGUGAGGUUGGAAGCGUCCAGCACGCCGGCACAGUCAGGCGUGUUCCAGGGGUUGUUGCAGUACGCCCAGGGCAGCACGUGGGUCAUGGAGGAGAAGAAGUAGUAGAAGGCAAUGCAGAUGACCACGUUGUAGUAGAUGCCGAUGUAGGUCGACACCACCAUCAUGCCGUAGCCCACGCCUGCGGGGAGAGCACAGUCAGCGGACCCACCAAGGUUCACAGUCCCUCAAGGCCCAGUGUGGGCCAGUCUUAGAUGGAGAGCUACAGGAGGGAAGGUUCAGGCCUCGGAUGGAUGGACAAGCCGGCCUCUGUGUAAGUGUGUGUGCACACACACUUACAGACAUUCGAGAAUGAAUGAGCACAUACAUGUGCGUGUAUUCCCCACCAGAACCUCACCUUUGAACAUGGGGCUGAUCCUCCAGACC